UCAAGAACCUAGACUACAUUCCACUCCAAUCAUACUAAAAUCACCAGUUCGAAAACGCGUUUUAGGAGAUCAUUACCAAGUUUACGAGACCUUCGAACACUAUAAAACCGAACCCACACCAACUCGACACCCUCACUCACACUCGCAACACGAUUCGAAUAUCCUAACACCUCGCCGGAGAGACCGGAAGUCGCCGGAAGAACUCGAAGCCGCCGGAGCCGAACGGAGAUCGACGAGAUUCCUCUCGACUCGUUUUCGGAGAACACGAAACCGUCGCCGGAGUCGGAGCUCGCCGGAGUAUCAGACGAAGCCGAAGAACUCGAGUCGGCCACUGUGUUUCGGAUAACCAUUUCAUUCGUUCUCUUGGAUACUCCAUUCUUACUCGUGCGUUAUUUCGAGGAUUCUUAUACGCA